rnacentral:rRNA from 1 species
CACGUAGGGGGCGAGCGUUGUCCGGAUUUAUUGGGCGUAAAGAGCUCGUAGGUGGUUUGUCGCGUUGUUCGUGAAAACCGGGGGCUUAACCCUCGGCGUGCGGGCGAUACGGGCAGACUUGAGUACUGCAGGGGAGACUGGAAUUCCUGGUGUAGCGGUGGAAUGCGCAGAUAUCAGGAGGAACACCGGUGGCGAAGGCGGUUACCUGGAGCUUUGCUGACGCUGAUGCGCGAAAGCGUGGGGAGCGAUCCGG